rnacentral:rRNA from 1 species
UGGGGAAUAUUGGACAAUGGGCGAAAGCCUGAUCCAGCAAUGCCGCGUGAGUGAUGAAGGCCCUAGGGUUGUAAAGCUCUUUUACCCGGGAUGAUAAUGACAGUACCGGGAGAAUAAGCUCCGGCUAACUCCGUGCCAGCAGCCGCGGUAAUACGGAGGGAGCUAGCGUUGUUCGGAAUUACUGGGCGUAAAGCGCGCGUAGGCGGUCCAUCAAGUCAGAGGUGAAAGCCCGGGGCUCAACCCCGGAACUGCCUUUGAAACUGGCGGACUAGAAUCUUGGAGAGGCGAGUGGAAUUCCGAGUGUAGAGGUGAAAUUCGUAGAUAUUCGGAAGAACACCAGUGGCGAAGGCGACUCGCUGGACAAGUAUUGACGCUGAGGUGCGAAAGCGUGGGGAGCAAACAGGAUUAGAUACCCCGGUAGUCCACGCCGUAAACGAUGAUAACUAGCUGUCCGGGCUCAUGGAGUUUGGGUGGCGCAGCUAACGCAUUAAGUUAUCCGCCG